rnacentral:rRNA from 1 species
CCUACGGGAGGCAGCAGUGGGGAAUAUUGCGCAAUGGGCGCAAGCCUGACGCAGCGACGCCGCGUGAGGGAUGAAGGUCUUCGGAUCGUAAACCUCUGUCAGCAGGGAAGAACGGUCACUGUGCUAAUCAGCAGUGAAUUGACGGUACCUGCAAGGGAAGCACCGGCUAACUCCGUGCCAGCAGCCGCGGUAAUACGGAGGGUGCGAGCGUUGGUCGGAAUUACUGGGCGUAAAGCGCUCGUAGGCGGGAUGUCAAGUCAAGGGUGAAAUCCCCGGGCUCAACGUGGGAACUGCCUUUGAAACUGGAGAACUGGAGUGUGUGAGAGGAUAGUGGAAUUCCAGGUGUAGGAGUGAAAUGCGUAGAUAUCUGGAGGAACAUCAGUGGCGAAGGCGACUAUCUGGCACAUAACUGACGCUGAGGAGCGAAAGCGUGGGUAGCAAACAGGAUUAGAUACCCCUGUAGUC